rnacentral:rRNA from 1 species
GAUGAACGCUGGCGGCGUGCCUAAUACAUGCAAGUCGAGCGAACAGACGAGGAGCUUGCUCCUCUAACGUUAGCGGCGGACGGGUGAGUAACACGUGGAUAACCUACCUAUAAGACUGGGAUAACUUCGGGAAACCGGAGCUAAUACCGGAUAAUAUGUUGAACCGCAUGGUUCAAUAGUGAAAGACGGUUUUGCUGUCACUUAUAGAUGGAUCCGCGCCGCAUUAGCUAGUUGGUAAGGUAACAGCUUACCAAGGCAACGAUGCGUAGCCGACCUGAGAGGGUGAUCGGCCACACUGGAACUGAGACACGGUCCAGACUCCUACGGGAGGCAGCAGUAGGGAAUCUUCCGCAAUGGGCGAAAGCCUGACGGAGCAACGCCGCGUGAGUGAUGAAGGUCUUCGGAUCGUAAAACUCUGUUAUUAGGGAAGAACAAAUGUGUAAGUAACUAUGCACGUCUUGACGGUACCUAAUCAGAAAGCCACGGCUAACUACGUG